CUAGGUUGGAGGGGCAAGGUGACCAUCUCUGGGUCGGCAGGGGCGGCCGCCCCUUCAGCCUCCUGUUCCUGCUGAUGGUGGUGCUGCAAGGUACUGCUAUGCUCACAUGGACAAAUUAAGGCUCUGGCUAAGAUGUCAUGUUGGAGCAUUGCAGACUGCUCUUCUCCCUUCUGCCUUUACAUACAAGAUGCCUGUUGCUGAGAACACUUGUUCCCACUUCUCUAGCAGGCAAGGAUCUGGGCAGGACAACAACCACAGGCAUGUGCUUUCUCAUCAUGUGAUGUCAUCUGCCAGGUCAUGAUGCAGCAAGAAGGCCCUCACCAGAUGCCACCCCUCCAGAACCAUGAGCCAAAUAAA
rnacentral:lncRNA from 1 species